rnacentral:rRNA from 1 species
UACGUAGGUGGCAAGCGUUACUCGGAAUUACUAGGCGUAAAGCGCAGGUAGGUGGUUGGGCAAGUCCGUAAUGAAAUCUCCCGGCUUAACUGGGAGGGGUUUAGGGAUACUGCCCGACUCGAGUGUGGGAGAGGUGACUGGAAUUCCUGGUGUAGCGGUGAAAUGCGUAGAUAUCAGGAGGAACACCUAUGGCGAAAGCAGGUCACUGGCCCAAUACUGACGCUGAGCUGCGAAAGCUAGGGGAGCAAACAGG